rnacentral:rRNA from 1 species
AUGGCCAACACAAAGAGAAAGGGAGGCAGCUCGGGCUCUCACAAGAAGAAAGGACACAAGGUAGCCACUGCCAAUGGCACGCUAAUGACCAUGAAGCUGCUGGUGGACACCAAGGCCCAACGCGUGGUCUACGCCGAGGCCGGCAAGGACGUCGUCGACUUCCUCUUCUCCCUCCUCACCUUGCCAGUGGGCACGGUCGUCAAGCUUCUGGGGACCGACACCAUGGUCGGCAGCGUCGGCAACCUGUACGGCAGCGUCGAGAAGCUCGACGACACCUACAUCGUCCGUGAGAACGCCAAGAAAGCCCUGCUCGCCCCUGCUGCUGGUUGCGAGAGCGGCAACGUUCUUCAGUUACCAGAGGCGGAGGCACCGGAGACCGAUCGCUUUUUCCGCUGUAGCUCCUUCUACUACUCCGACUGCUACAACAAUGUUACCAAGGUAAACGGUACUCCAUGCUCGCAUUGCAAGAAUAGCAUGGGGACGGAGAUGCAGCUUGUGGUUCCGACCGCUUGCUCCGAUGGUGGCGCGGUGUCAGCUGCUGCAGGCACUGGGUUUGUACAGGGGAUCGUGACGUACACGGUGAUGGACGACCUGAAGGUGUCGCCCAUGUCUUCCAUCUCUGGGAUCACCAUGCUCAACACGUUUGGCGUCACGGACAUCGGGUCGCUCCAGGAGAAGACCGUGCAGCUUGGCUACGAGGAGGGACUGGAGAUACUGAAGGCGUCGCUGCAGUCAAAGACGGUUCUCACUGACGUCUUCCUUCCGAAGAAGCGCAAGGGGUGA